AUAAACUUUGUGAAUACUACUUAUCUGAUUUUCUAUAUUAAAUGCCAGACAUCAGUAUAGAAAAUACAUAUGUCUGUGUAAGAUUGCAAUUGCAUUUUCAAAUGUAAGGCAGUUAUUAUUUUAGAAUGCAGCAGCUUUACUUUUAAAAAAAAAAACGCUAGUAGCAGCAUGUAAAAAU